GCCUCGGCGGGCGGGGUCGGCGGGCAGAGACCGGGCGCUGAGGGCCGGGGCCGGGGCCGGGGCCGAGGCCGGGGCGAGGC
rnacentral:miRNA from 1 species